ACGAUGCGAGCGAAACAGGAAGCGAAGAAGAAAGACUUCCGACGGUCAAAGGUGACGUUCGUAUUUGAAAACAUGGAUCCCAAGAAAGUGGAUGAAGGAAAGAUGAGUGGUGACGGAGACAUCGGAUCUGUCAUGGGAUUUUCUGGGUUUGGUAAGAAAGCCCGCACCUUUGAUUUUGAUGCCAUAUUUGAACAGACGAGGCGAACAGCAAUUGAGAGGAGUCAGCGUGUAUUAGAAGAGAGGCAGAAGGAGACUCAGAUGGAAGAAGAAGGGGAAAGCUCCAAAUCAGUCAAACCGUCGGUCCACAGUCAAAAAGAAAAAGCUGCUUCUUCGAGAGCACAUGAGAGUGAAAGCAGCAGUGGGUCAGACUCUGACUCUGACUCAGAGCUGAUUGGACCCCCGGUGCCUCCUCAGCACGCAGCCCAGGAGGAGGAUGAUGAGCUUGUGGGACCGCCUCUUCCUCCAGGUUACUCAGGCAGCACAGCUUACAGUGAUGAUGACGAUGAAGGGGAUGCACAAGAUGACGACGAUGAUGAUAAUCCAGUGAAGAAGAUUCCAGACACCCAUGAGAUCACUCUGCAGCACGGCACCAAGACGGUAUCAGCUCUUGGCUUAGACCCCUCUGGAGCCCGUCUGGUGACCGGUGGAUAUGAUUAUGAUGUGCGUUUCUGGGAUUUUGCCGGAAUGGACCAGGCUCUGCAGGCCUUCAGAUCCCUGCAGCCCUGCGAGUGUCAUCAGAUCAAGUCCCUGCAGUACAGCAUCACUGGUGAUGUCAUCCUGGUCGUUUCUGGCAAUGCUCAGGCCAAGGUGUUGGACCGUGACGGCUUCAACGUCAUGGAGUGUGUGAAGGGAGACCAGUACAUAGUGGAUAUGGCUAACACCAAGGGCCACACAGCAAUGCUGAAUUGCGGCUGCUGGCAUCCGAAGGUUAAAGAAGAGUUCAUGACCUGCUCCAACGACGGCACCGUGCGCACCUGGGACCUGAACUCAGAGAAGAAGCACAAGUCGGUGUUCAAACCGCGCUCGUUGCAGGGAAAGAAGGUCACCCCCACAUGCUGCACCUACAGCCGUGAUGGGAAGCUCAUCGCAGCAGGCUGCCAAGAUGGCAGCAUCCAGAUCUGGGACAGAAACCUCAGCGUUCACACAAAGUUUCACUGUCGGCAAGCCCACACUCCAGGUUCAGACACCUCCUGCCUCUCCUUUUCUUAUGACGGCAUGACUCUCGCUUCACGUGGAGGUGAUGACACUCUGAAGACGUGGGACAUACGCAACUUCAGAAAGCCUGUGAAUGUAGCCACUGGACUGACCAACUACUUCUCCAUGACUGACUGCUGUUUUAGCCCUGAUGACAAGCUUCUUGUAACGGGGACUUCAGUGAGGAAAGAUGAGGGAAAUGGGAAGUUGGUUUUCUUUGACCGAGGUUCAUUUCAGAGGGUCUACGAAAUAGAAGUCACCAAUGCAAGUGUUGUUCGCUGCUUGUGGCACCCAAAACUUAACCAGAUAAUGGUAGGAACUGGGAACGGACUGGCCAAAGUAUACUAUGACCCAGUUAAAAGCCACAGAGGAGCUAAGCUGUGUGUGGUGAAGAGCCAACGGAAGGAGAAACAAGCAGAGACGCUAACGCAAGAUUACAUCAUCACACCUCAUGCCUUACCCAUGUUCAGAGAGGCCCGACAGCGGAGUACACGGAAACAGCUGGAGAAGGACAGACUCGACCCAAAGAAAUCCCACAAACCCGAGCCUCCUGUGUCCGGACCAGGCCGAGGAGGCAGAGUGGCAGCUCACGGUGGAACUCUGUCUUCAUUCAUUGUGAAGAACAUUGCAUUAGAUAAAACAGAUGACAGUAACCCACGAGAGGCCAUCCUACGCCACGCCAAGGAAGCGUCAGAAAACCCUUACUGGGUUGCCCCGGCGUACACACAGACCCAGCCAGAGCCUGUGUUUGCGGAGGAAUCAGAGGAGGAUGAGGAAGCCGACAAGGAACCGGAGUGGAAGAAACGCAAGAUCUGAUAGACAGCAGCUCGUUUUAUACAGGACAGCAGACAGGGUGGGCUAGAACACAGAGGUGCAGUGGCUGUAAAAGGAAGGUGAGACAGAGACAUACCAGCAGAAGAGAUAUGGAAGCAGUGAAUCAGGGAGUGAUGUAUUAAAGAGUAGAUUGGCUUCACGGGGAGAAGCUGACGUCAAACCCUUCAAGAGAAGAGUCGUCAGCCAGCAGCAGGAGGUGAGGACUGAUUGCAGUUUGAUUAAAGUGGGACAGUUGAGCACAGAGAAAGAGAAGCUCUGCAUGGAGCUGAAAGCAUGGCCCUCAGGUAGAGGCAUUUAAAUUCAGACCUAUUAAAGGCUCAGUUCACUCAAAUUACAAAGAAGCAUUCUCUGACUUAUAGUUCUUCUACUGUCAUCUAUCUAUCUAGCUAUGCCCUCUAUGUAAAGCCAGUGAUUGAUGGUUUUAGUGCUGCUCCAAGCACUAAAAAAUGAGUUACAGCUUGAAAAACUCAACACCAGAGACCUUGUUGCAUUCAGUUUUCAUUGGAGCAUCUUUCUACCUCAACAACUAGCAAAAUUUUUAUUCCCCCUGUAUCCAUGCAAGAUAAAGUUACAUACGACUCGGCCAGAAUAAACCGAAUUUGAAGA